AAACAGUGCAUCAGGCAUUUUCUAAUUAAUUCUUUGAAAUGCUCCCAUGCUUCAUAUAAUGUCUCAUCUUUAGAUUGUCUGAAUGAUGUAAUAUCAUUCCUCAGCUU
rfam:Gossypium hirsutum cultivar TM-1 chromosome 24, whole genome shotgun sequence